GUGCAAAAAUCCCCCCCUGAAAGCGAGCCGCAGCCUGGUGCUUUGCCAGGGAGCUGGUUUGCUGCGCAAGGGCGAAACCCAGGGCAAGGCGGGCUCAGUGCAGCCUUCAGAGUCACAGCAUCAGCAGCCGCCCAGCCAAAAACCUUAAUGGUGGAGCUGUUUUUUUAAUGGUCCCCUGUACGGCCGUUAGUCCUUAAGGAGGAUUUACAUUGCAGCCAGCUGCUAUGAAGAUAUUUUAUUGGUAUAGUAAAUACAGAGAGAGAAAUGGUAGCUUUUAGUCUUCUGGUUGCUUGUGCUUUUCCUGUCCCAUAAUUCACAACCCUCUUUGUGUCAGAGGCUAAAAUCUGUCCCGUCGAGUGCCCUGAGGUGUCCCCUUGUUCCCACCACUUGGCCAGGCCAAAGCCACCCUUGGGUGCCUCCUUCCCCUUGCUGCCCAAGUGUUUGUGCUGGUGGCUGUGGAGCAGGGGAGGCUCAAGAGAGCAGAAAGGGGCAAUGGCAACUGUGCAAGGCAUGAAAGCAGUGAAAUCUCACACGGCAACCUGUUAGAUGGGAGCCAGGGGGAGCACAAGCAAUGCCGCAGUAACGCUAGGGCUUAAACUCAGUUCUUCAUUUUGUUUCAUGGUUGGUUGAGGGCUUGGACUCCCCACUGCAUUUACCCACUCCCUGACCUGCAGAGCCUCAACACGGGAUGGAAAGAAAAGCAACCAGAGAGCCAGAGGCACAGGAGGUGAGAAGAUGCCUCAUUGCAUGGGGAUAGGUCAAAACACACCACGAGCAUGCAUCGCACAGUCCCAGGAGUGCCACCGACCCACAGACCCUGUGCAGACAGAGGCUGACAGCAGAAGCAGAGCUGCAGAAAAACACCCAUCGCGUCUGCCCACUGAGGCCCCAGGGAGCACAAAACAGCCAACAUGAAGCCUACUCCAACUGCUCAAUCCACGUCUUGAUCUGCCUCCUGGGCCGAGGACGAGGACCGAGGCCUGUGCUGACCCAGCUCCGGCGGCAGUGGUGCAGGAACAGGAAACCAUUUUUCUCCUCUUCAAGGUUUUGGUGUAAUUUGAGAAUCAAGCCCCAUGCAGAUCGGAACACGUUAGUAAUGUCUGGAAAGUAAUUAUGGCAUAUAUUAUUAUUUUAAUAUUUACUAAGUGCUGACAGUACAAUGCCUUUAUUAAAACUUUGGGGAGGGUGAAAUACACACCACAAAGCACGGCGGGAUGAGGGCAGUCUUCUGAAAUUGCUCAUUUAUAUUUCAAUUUUACAGUCACUUUCCUGUGACCUACUUUUAAUCAUACACUGUUUUCUUUGCGGCUUAAAUCAUGUAAGGUGGUUAAUGAUUUUAAUUUAAAGUUCUCUAAGGAAGAAUGUAAAUAAUACUUCUGCCUAGUGGAGGCAGGCUGUGAACUUCUUAUUGAGAAGCAAUUUAUCACUGUAUUGAAGAGCAAUGGAAGAGGUUUAACUUCACCAGAAGCUGGAAGUGUUUCUUUUCACUUAUUCUGAUCGUGUACCAGCAAUAUGCCAAGGGUUAUCAGGAGAGCUCUAUGUUUA
rnacentral:lncRNA from 1 species